rnacentral:rRNA from 1 species
UACGGGGGGGGCAAGCGUUGUUCGGAAUUACUGGGCGUAAAGGGCUCGUAGGCGGCCAACUAAGUCAGACGUGAAAUCCCUCGGCUUAACCGGGGAACUGCGUCUGAUACUGGAUGGCUUGAAUCCGGGAGAGGGAUGCGGAAUUCCAGGUGUAGCGGUGAAAUGCGUAGAUAUCUGGAGGAACACCGGUGGCGAAGGCGACAUCCUGGACCGGUAUUGACGCUGAGGCGCGAAAGCCAGGGGAGCAAACGGG